GAUACCCGCUGAACUUAAGCAUAUCAUAGUCGGGAGGAA
rnacentral:rRNA from 1 species